rnacentral:RNase_P_RNA from 1 species
CCAGAGGGUCGGGCGGCCGCGGGUGUUUUCGGACACGCGAGGAAAGUCCGGGCUCCGCGAAACGACGGUGCCGGGUAACGCCCGGCGAGGGUGACCUCAGGGAAAGUGCCACAGAGAGCAGACGGCCAACCCUCGGCUUUAGUCGGGGCGGUCAGAGUGAAAGGGUGCGGUAAGAGCGCACCGCGCGCCUGGUAACAGGGGCGGCACGGCAAACCCCACCGGGAGCAAGAUCGAAUAGGGGUGGCACAUGGGCUUCGUUUCAGCUCGUCACCCGGGUUGAUUGCUUGAGGCGGCGGG